rnacentral:lncRNA from 1 species
CCAAGUUUGUCUUCAGCACUCAACACCUUCACACCUUCCACGUCCUGCUUCCUUCUGCCCUGGCCUUCCACUCCCCCCCUCCCCACCCCCCACCAACCGCUUGUGCUGUCUGCUGCUGCUUUGUGCCCAGGCCUGCCCCUCCAGGCCAUGUCCCGGGCUCCAAAAUGUUUCCAUCCUCCUGCUACCAACAGAAACUUCUAACUGCAUAACAUGGUACCUCCUCCCAGAGGACACGGAGAUGAGCAUCUCCCUCCAACUUUCACCUCUCCCAUAUUAGAGUCUGCGUCAACUCCUAGAAAGCUCCCUCAGACUUCACACAUUGAGGACUGGCUCCCAGCUUGUUUAUCCUCCCUCCUUCUCCUACAAACCAAUCUUUCUGAGUAGGAGCCCAAAGUAAAGAACUCCUGAGAGAAUAAUAAAAGAAAAUUCUUACAGACCAAGCUCAAAGCAAAACAGGGACCACGGCUGAAUAUAGCAGACAAGGAGGUAGUUGGAAGGGAAGAUUAUGCUGGACUGUGGGAUAAUCUGGUUCCCCUCAAAUCCCAGCCCUUAGAUUGGCCCUGGCUGCUAGUCUAGUAUUCCUUUGUAAGGACUUGACCAGUUUUGAGACACCUGCCCUGAACUGGGCCUUCCAGACUGGAGUCCCUUGGCAACCAAAAUCACCUUAGCUGCUCCACAUAGAGGGUGAGUGUCCAGUGUGACUUUGUAGGUAAAGGAAUCCUUCACACCAUAACUUUCAGUCUCUCUCAGGGACAGGGGUGUCACAUAGAGUUUGCAAAAUGGAUUCUUUAGGACUUCUGAUUUCUGUCUCGAGACAACCAGUUUGAAGACAAGGUAUUCUGGCCCAUUCUGGAAGUUUAGGUGGGUUUCAAAGCAAGAAAGAAAAAGGAAGGAAGGGAGAGCGGGAAGGAGGAAGGGAGAGCUGGAGAGAACUUUGUCUGGUUGAAGGUAGGGCAGUGUACAUUAUUGAUAAGCGUGUCCUCAUCCUUGUUAGCUUUCUGCUGUCUUCG